rnacentral:rRNA from 1 species
UACGAAGGGGGCUAGCGUUGUUCGGAAUUACUGGGCGUAAAGGGCGCGUAGGCGGUGUGUCAAGUCAGGCGUGAAAGCCCCGGGCUCAACCUGGGAACCGCGCUUGAGACUGGCACGCUCGAGUUCGGGAGAGGAUGGUGGAAUUCCCAGUGUAGAGGUGAAAUUCGUAGAUAUUGGGAAGAACACCGAUGGCGAAGGCAGCCAUCUGGACCGACACUGACGCUGAGGCGCGAAAGCGUGGGGAGCAAGCAGG